GAAAGUUUAGCAAAUAGCUUUACAAUUCUCUCCUCCAUAUCCUCAAAGUGCCGCAGAUACGGGGUGGGGAGGAUGGCUCUGAGUUUCAGGCUGGAAUCAAGGCUUCUGGGAGGAGAGCUUGUGCCCACUGACAAGGAGGACGUCUGCCUCCAUCAAUCCACGUGAGGAUCCAAAGCAGGAUCACACGUUUUCAUGGUUGGUUUUCAUGCCUCUUCCCUCUCCCUCGAUCUAGAACAGCUCCUCGCCUUUUUCCUUCCCUUUUAAUGGCAUCGACAGUUUUGAAGAGUCUGGACCAAUUGCGUUUUGAAUGUCUCACAAUCUGGGUUUCUCCAAUGACAUCCUCACCAAAUGAUUCAGGGUGACUGUCUCUAUCAAGCCCAGCACCUGAAAAACACCAGGAAGACAGGCUACCAACAAGACAGAAGCCAUAGCCCGUUGGAACCUAAUUGUCAGGAGUGACUCUCACCACUUUUUCCAUAUUUCAUUCAUUAGAAGUGAGUCAUCAGCACCAGACAAGUGUAUGAGAUCAUCUGUUUCCCCACAUUGGUGCCAUGUUCCAACAGACUGUGUGGUCAAGUUUUCACCUCUUGUCCAUCUAAGAGAUGGGAUUUCACCGUGAUGGCCAGGCUGGUCUUGAACUCCUGACCUCAGGUGUUCAUUCAAGAUAGGGAAGUAUACAAAUCUGUUCAUGUCCCAAGUUGAAAAGUCAAAGAAUGGCCUGUUUCCUAAAGAAGAGAGAUAGACCUAGUAACCUAGUGGAAUAAACUCAAGCUUGUUUUUUGUGUGUUUGUUUUGUUUAGUAUUUUGACCCAACUAUAGUGAAAAUAAUUGUGGCUACUGAUUUCCAAGUACCUGCUAUAUGCUAGUCCCUGUGCUGGACGUUUUACACGCAUUACUUCUUAUCUACAACCCAGUUUUACCAAAGAAGACAAUGGGGCUCAGAGAAUUUAAGUAAGGUGGCCAUGAUUUCAGAACUACAAAGUGCUAGAGGACAAAAUUGAACCCACUUGUACCUGGCUACUCAGAGCCCUAUUUCUGCAUCUAAGCAGCCAGGAAACUUCUCAUUAUGCAGCUGAUGUUCAACAGACUGAAAUUUUGCUAUAUUCAUUUAUUUAAAAAAUAUAUGUAAAAAGCACCUACUAUGUGCCUGGAAAUCUGCUGAACACUGGGGAUACAGAGAAGAACAAGACACAAUGUUGUAUUUGAUGCAUUCUAUUGAUUAAAGUAAGUCAUAUGGCUAAUGCAGAUUCAAGGGAUGGGAAAUCAGAUCUAUCUCUUGAUGGAGAAACUGCAAAGACACAUUGCAAAGGCUGUGAUGAGAGAAAUGGAACGGGUAGAAAAGUGGACCUUAAACACGAGUGACUACCACAUAUGAUUACCUUUCUAACAGGCCAUGCUGAGGAACUGGAUAUCAUUCUAAGUCAGGACUCUGCGUUAGAGUCCUGUAGAGGACCGGAUAAUGAAGAUUUCAAGCUUUAUGGAUUGUUCGGUCAUAUAGUCAUAUAGUCUCUAUUGCAAUGAUUCAACUCUGCAAUCUGUUGUCAUGCAUGAGAAGCCACAUACAAAUCGCAAACAAAGAGUGU